GUCUACUGCCAUACCACACUGAACGCACCUGAUCUCGUCUGAUCUCGGAAGCGAAGCAGGGUUGGGCCUGGUUAGUACUUGGAUGGGAGAUCACAUGGGAAUAUCGGGUGCUGUAGGCU